rnacentral:rRNA from 1 species
GACGAACGCUGGCGGCAUGCUUAAUACAUGCAAGUCGAACGGAAAGGCCACCUUCGGGUGGUACUCGAGUGGCGAACGGGUGAGUAACACGUGGGUAACCUGCCCUUGACUGGGGGACAACCGGGGGAAACUCCGGCUAAUACCGCAUAACGUGCAUCGUCAUGAGGCGAUGUACCAAAGAUAGCUUCGGCUUUCGGUCAUGGAUGGGCCCGCGGCGGAUUAGCUUGUUGGUGGGGUAACGGCCUACCAAGGCGACGAUCCGUAGCUGGCCUGAGAGGACGAUCAGCCACACUGGAACUGAGACACGGUCCAGACUCCUACGGGAGGCAGCAGUAGGGAAUCUUGCGCAAUGGGCGAAAGCCUGACGCAGCAAUGCCGCGUGAGGGAAGACGGCCUUAGGGUUGUAAACCUCUUUCGGUUGGGACGAAGCUUCUAGGGUUAAUAGCCCUAUGGAGUGACGGUACCUUCGGAAGAAGCCCCGGCUAACUACGUGCCAGCCGCCGCGGUAACAC